rnacentral:ncRNA from 1 species
GGAGCCUGCGGUUUAAUUCGACUCAACACGGGAAAAAUCACCUGACCCGGACACUGUGAGGAUUGACAGAUUGAAAGCUCUUUCUUGAUUCGGUGGAUGGUGGUGCAUGGCCGUUCUUAGUUGGUGGAGUGAUUUAUCUGGUUAAUUCCGAUAACGAACGCGACUUUGACCUCUGUGCUCGCUCAGGGCGCGGCUUCUAUUCCUUCUUUAUUCAGUAGUGUGGUCGUGGUCCGGCGGCUCGGGUCCAGUUUUAACUUAGAGUGGCAGACAGCACAUUGAAGUCGUAUGAAAUUGUGCAAUAACAGGUCUGUGAUGCCCUUAGAUGUCCGGGGCCACAUGUGCGCUACAAUGACGGUGCCAGCGAGUCUGGAAACCUGGCCCAAAAAGGGUUCGGCAAACUUGCAUCACUGUCGUGACUGAGAUGCAGUAACUGAGCUUUAUUCUAGG